rnacentral:rRNA from 1 species
AUUGAACGCUGGCGGCAUGCUUUACACAUGCAAGUCGAGCGGCAGCGCGGGGGCAACCCUGGCGGCGAGCGGCGAACGGGUGAGUAAUGCAUCGGAACGUAUCCUCGAGUGGGGGAUAACCCAGCGAAAGUUGGGCUAAUACCGCAUGGGCUCUGAGGAGGAAAGCGGGGGACCUGCGAGGGCCUCGCGCUGGAGGAGCGGCCGAUGUCCGAUUAGCUAGUUGGUGGGGUAAAGGCUUACCAAGGCGACGAUCGGUAGCUGGUCUGAGAGGAUGAUCAGCCACACUGGGACUGAGACACGGCCCAGACUCCUACGGGAGGCAGCAGUGGGGAAUUUUGGACAAUGGGGGCAACCCUGAUCCAGCCAUGCCGCGUGAGUGAAGAAGGCCUUCGGGUUGUAAAGCUCUUUCGGACGGAACGAAAUGGGCGGGACUAAUACUCCUGUCUGAUGACGGUACCGUAAGAAGAAGCACCGGCUAACUACGUG